AGCCUUGCUCGCGAAGGGGGGUACUCACUCAGGAGAAAACAAGGAACUACAAUGGCUCAUUAAAACAGUUAUAGUUUAUUUGAUACAUUAAAUGGAUAACUGUAGAAAAACUAGAGCUAAUACAUGCCAAAGCCUCACGGUUGUAUUUAUUAGAUAUUCCAAUUAGGUGAAUCAUAAUAACUUCGCAAAUCUCGGUUUUGCCGAGAUAAAUCAUCCAAGUUUCUGCCCUAUCAUGCUUUCGAUGGUAGUGUAUUGGACUUACCAUGGCACCCCACGGGUAACAGGGAAUUAGGGCUUCGAUUCUGGAGAAGGAGCCUGAGAAACCGGCUACUACAUCUACGGAAGGCAGCAGGCGCGUAAAUUACCCAAUCCUGACUCAGGGAGGUGGUGACAAGAUAUAACAACGCAAUUUCAUUGUGAUUGUAGUGAGGGUAUUCCAAACCGAACCACUAGUACGAUUAGAGGGCAAGUCUGGUGCCAGCAGCCGCGGUAAUUCCAGCUCUAAUAGCGUAUAUUAAAGUUGCUGCAGUUAAAAGCUCGUAGUUGGAUUUCAAGGAUGUGUACUCUUCUAGGGUAUGCACCCUACUAGUCUUUGACUUGUUACUGUGAGAAAAUAGAGUGUUAAGCAGCUAUGCAGAUAUACAUGAUACGAUGUUUGAACUGUAUCAGUCGAUAAAAGUGGCUUAUAAUGCAGGAUUGAUUAAUAGUGCACUUGCGAGGUUUUUCAGAGAAGUAC
rnacentral:rRNA from 1 species